rnacentral:lncRNA from 1 species
CCCAGCACAUGUACCCCUGAACCUAAAAUAAAAGUCAAAAUUAUAAAAUAAAAUAAAACAAAUAUUUGGUUUAAAACUACAACAAAAAAUUAUCUAGGGUUUAAACAAGACUGCCUUUUUUAAAAAGGGACUUAAGUUGCAAAGCAGGCUGUUGCUUUUUAUUUUAAGUCUGCACUAUUAGCUUUUUAACUGUGUGCAUAUAUUAAUUAUAUGGAAAAUAUAAUAUAGUUUAAGUAAUAACUACAUGUUCAACUCCACUUGCAGCUUAAAAAUACGAACAGUCAUUUGAAAUUUAAUUACUUAUUAUGUAAGGAGUCUGAAUGCAAAUUUUAUGC